CCUACGGGAGGCAGCAGUGGGGAAUAUUGGACAAUGGGGGCAACCCUGAUCCAGCCAUGCCGCGUUUGUGAAGAAGGCCCGCGGGUUGUAAAGCACUUUCAGUGAGGAAGAACGCCUGGUGGUUAAUACCCAUCAGGAAAGACAUCACUCACAGAAGAAGCACCGGCUAACUCCGUGCCAGCAGCCGCGGUAAUACGGAGGGUGCGAGCGUUAAUCGGAAUUACUGGGCGUAAAGCGCGCGUAGGUGGCUUGAUAAGCCGGUUGUGAAAGCCCCGGGCUCAAUCUGGGAACGGCAUCCGGAACUGUCAAGCUAGAGUGCAGGAGAGGAAGGUAGAAUUCCCGGUGUAGCGGUGAAAUGCGUAGAGAUCGGGAGGAAUACCAGUGGCGAACGCGGCCUUCUGGACUGACACUGACACUGAGGUGUGGAAGCGUGGGUAGCAAACAGGAUUAGAUACCCCAGUAGUC
rnacentral:rRNA from 1 species